rnacentral:rRNA from 1 species
UACGGAGGAUCCAAGCGUUAUCCGGAUUUAUUGGGUUUAAAGGGUGCGUAGGCGGCCUAUUAAGUCAGGGGUGAAAGACGGUAGCUUAACUAUCGCAGUGCCUUUGAUACUGAUGGGCUUGAAUGAACUAGAGGUAGGCGGAAUGUGACAAGUAGCGGUGAAAUGCAUAGAUAUGUCACGGAACACCAAUUGCGAAGGCAGCUUACUAUGGUUUUAUUGACGCUGAGGCACGAAAGCGUGGGGAUCAAACAGG